UACGUAGGGUGCAGGCGUUAAUCGGAAUUACUGGGCGUAAAGCGUGCGCAGGCGGUCUAUUAAGACAGAGGUGAAAUCCCCGGGCUCAACCUGGGAACUGCCUUUGUGACUGCAAGGCUGGAGUGCGGCAGAGGGGGAUGGAAUUCCGCGUGUAGCAGUGAAAUGCGUAGAUAUGCGGAGGAACACCGAUGGCGAAGGCAAUCCCCUGGGCCUGCACUGACGCUCAUGCACGAAAGCGUGGGGAGCAAACAGG
rnacentral:rRNA from 1 species